rnacentral:rRNA from 1 species
GUAGAACGCUGAAGGAGGAGCUUGCUUCUCCGGAUGAGUUGCGAACGGGUGAGUAACGCGUAGGUAACCUGCCUGGUAGCGGGGGAUAACUAUUGGAAACGAUAGCUAAUACCGCAUAACAGUAGAUAUUGCAUGAUAUCUGCUUGAAAGGUGCAAUUGCAUCACUACCAGAUGGACCUGCGUUGUAUUAGCUAGUUGGUGAGGUAACGGCUCACCAAGGCGACGAUACAUAGCCGACCUGAGAGGGUGAUCGGCCACACUGGGACUGAGACACGGCCCAGACUCCUACGGGAGGCAGCAGUAGGGAAUCUUCGGCAAUGGACGGAAGUCUGACCGAGCAACGCCGCGUGAGUGAAGAAGGUUUUCGGAUCGUAAAGCUCUGUUGUAAGAGAAGAACGAGUGUGAGAGUGGAAAGUUCACACUGUGACGGUAUCUUACCAGAAAGGGACGGCUAACUACGUGCCAGCAGCCGCGGUAAUACGUAGGUCCCGAGCGUUGUCCGGAUUUAUUGGGCGUAAAGCGAGCGCAGGCGGUUAGAUAAGUCUGAAGUUAAAGGCUGUGGCUUAACCAUAGUACGCUUUGGAAACUGUUUAACUUGAGUGCAAGAGGGGAGAGUGGAAUUCCAUGUGUAGCGGUGAAAUGCGUAGAUAUAUGGAGGAACACCGGUGGCGAAAGCGGCUCUCUGGCUUGUAACUGACGCUGAGGCUCGA